rnacentral:rRNA from 1 species
AGCGAACGCUGGCGGCAGGCUUAACACAUGCAAGUCGAGCGGACCUUUCGGGGUCAGCGGCGGACGGGUGAGUAACGCGUGGGAACGUGCCUUCCGGUUCGGAAUAACCCUGGGAAACUAGGGCUAAUACCGGAUACGCCCUUAUGGGGAAAGGUUUACUGCCGGAAGAUCGGCCCGCGUCUGAUUAGCUAGUUGGUGGGGUAACGGCCUACCAAGGCGACGAUCAGUAGCUGGUCUGAGAGGAUGAUCAGCCACACUGGGACUGCGACACGGCCCAGACUCCUACGGGAGGCAGCAGUGGGGAAUAUUGGACAAUGGGCGCAAGCCUGAUCCAGCCAUGCCGCGUGAGUGAUGAAGGCCGUAGGGUUGUAAAGCUCUUUUAUCCGGGACGAUAAUGACGGUACCGGAGGAAUAAGCCCCGGCUAACUUCGUG